ACCGACAAGACUUUGGCGAUGUAAGGGAUCAACGGCAGGUUCAAAAUGAGCAACACAAGAUUGCCAAUGAACAUCGACAUGAUCACAGCCCAGAAAAUUUGGGGUUCAUCAAUCAUCAAUCUUGGACC
rnacentral:ncRNA from 1 species